CACGUAGGGCGCAAGCGUUGUCCGGAAUUAUUGGGCGUAAAGAGCUCGUAGGCGGUCUGUUGCGUCCGCUGUGAAAACCCGGGGCUUAACCCUGGGCUGGCAGUGGAUACGGGCAGACUAGAGUGUGGUAGGGGAGACUGGAAUUCCUGGUGUAGCGGUGAAAUGCGCAGAUAUCAGGAGGAACACCGAUGGCGAAGGCAGGUCUCUGGGCCACUACUGACGCUGAGAAGCGAAAGCAUGGGGAGCGAACAGG
rnacentral:rRNA from 1 species